ACGUAGGAGGCGAGCGUUAUCCGGAUUCACUGGGCGUAAAGCGCGUGCAGGCGGUUCGGUAAGUUGGGCGUGAAAUCUCCCGGCUCAACUGGGAGAGGUCGUUCAAUACUACCGGACUUGAGAGCGAUAGAGGAAAAUGGAAUUCCCGGUGUAGUGGUGAAAUGCGUAGAUAUCGGGAGGAACACCAGUGGCGAAAGCGGCAUCCUGGCCCUGUCCUGACGCUAAGACGCGACAGCACGGGGAGCGAACGG
rnacentral:rRNA from 1 species